rnacentral:tRNA from 1 species
GGGGCAUUAGCUCAGCUGGGAGAGCGCUUGCAUGGCAUGCAAGAGGCCAUCGGUUCAAGUCCGAUAUGCUCCACCU